rnacentral:rRNA from 1 species
GACGAACGCUGGCGGCGUGCUUAACACAUGCAAGUCGAGCGGGAAACUUCGGUUUCCAGCGGCGGACGGGUGAGUAACACGUGGGCAACCUGCCUCACAAUGAGGGAUAGCCCUCCGAAAGGAGGAUUAAUACCUCAUAACACAAGAGAAACGCAUGUUUCUCUUGCCAAAGAAUUUCGUUGUGAGAUGGGCCCGCGGCGCAUUAGCUUGUUGGUGAGGUAACGGCUCACCAAGGCUUCGAUGCGUAGCCGACCUGAGAGGGUGAUCGGCCACAUUGGAACUGGGACACGGUCCAGACUCCUACGGGAGGCAGCAGUGGGGAAUAUUGCACAAUGGAGGAAACUCUGAUGCAGCAACGCCGCGUGAGUGAUGAAGGUCUUCGGAUUGUAAAGCUCUGUCUUCUGGGACGAUAAUGACGGUACCAGAGGAGGAAGCCACGGCUAACUACGUGCCAGCAGCCGCCGCAGUAA